UACGGGGGGGGCAAGCGUUGUUCGGAAUUACUGGGCGUAAAGGGCUCGUAGGCGGCCAACUAAGUCAGACGUGAAAUCCCUCGGCUUAACCGGGGAACUGCGUCUGAUACUGGAUGGCUUGAAUCCGGGAGAGGGAUGCGGAAUUCCAGGUGUAGCGGUGAAAUGCGUAGAUAUCAGGAGGAACACCGGUGGCGAAGGCGGAUCUCUGGGCCAUAACUGACGCUGAGGAGCGAAAGCAUGGGGAGCGAACAGG
rnacentral:rRNA from 1 species